GCCUGGGUGGCUCAGCUGGUUGAGCGUCUGACUUCAGCUCAGGUCAUGAUCUCACGGUUCGUGAGUUCAAGCCCCGCUUCUGGCU
rnacentral:tRNA from 1 species